GCCGCCGUAGUCUAGCGGUCAGGAUGGUGGGCUGUGGCCCCAUUGACCCGGGUUCAAAUCCCGGCGGCGGCCCCA
rnacentral:tRNA from 1 species